ACAAGGUUUCCGUAGGUGAACCUGCGGAAGGAUCAUUACCGAGUUGAUUCGAGCUCCGGCUCGACUCUCCCACCCUAUGUGUACCUACCUCUGUUGCUUUGGCGGGCCGCGGUCCUCCGCACCGGCCCCCUUCGGGGGCUGGCCAGCGCCCGCCAGAGGACCACAAAACUCCAGUCAGUGAACUUCGCAGCCUGAAAAACAAGUUAAUAAACUAAAACUUUCAACAACGGAUCUCUUGGUUCUGGCAUCGAUGAAGAACGCAGCGAAAUGCGAUAAGUAAUGUGAAUUGCAGAAUUCAGUGAAUCAUCGAAUCUUUGAACGCACAUUGCGCCCCUUGGUAUUCCGAGGGGCAUGCCUGUUCGAGCGUCAUUUCAACCCUCAAGCUCUGCUUGGUAUUGGGCUCCGUCCUCUGCGGACGCGCCUCGAAGACCUCGGCGGUGGCGUCUUGCCUCAAGCGUAGUAGAAAACACCUCGCUUUGGAGCGCACGGCGCCGCCCGCCGGACGAACCUUUGAAUUUUUCUCAAGGUUGACCUC
rnacentral:rRNA from 1 species